UUAUAAGCCUGGUGAUAGUUUGACAAGGCUUUGGUGGAGGUUGUGUUAGUGUGUCCAUGGGUAGUGUUAUGAGCCUGGUGAUAGUUUGACAAGGCUUUGGUGGAGGUUGUGUUAGUGUGUCCAUGGGUAGUGUUAUGAGCCUGGUGAUAGUUUGACAAGGCUUUGGUGGAGGUUGUGUUAGUGUGUCCAUGGGUAGUGUUAUGAGCCUGGUGAUAGUUUGACAAGGCUUUGGUGGAGGUUGUGUUAGUGUGUCCAUGGGUAGUGUUAUGAGCCUGGUGAUAGUUUGACAAGGCUUUGGUGGAGGUUGUGUUAGUGUGUCCAUGGGUAGUGUUAUGAGCCUGGUGAUAGUUUGACAAGGCUUUGGUGGAGGUUGUGUUAGUGUGUCCAUGGGUAGUGUUAUGAGCCUGGUGAUAGUUUGACAAGGCUUUGGUGGAGGUUGUGUUAGUAUGUCCAUGGGUAGUGUUAUGAGCCUGGUGAUAGUUUGACAAGGCUUUGGUGGAGGUUGUGUUAGUGUGUCCAUGGGUAGUGUUAUGAGCCUGGUGAUAGUUUGACAAGGCUUUGGUGGAGGUUGUGUUAGUGUGUCCAUGGGUAGUGUUAUGAGCCUGGUGAUAGUUUGACAAGGCUUUGGUGGAGGUUGUGUUAGUGUGUCCAUGGGUAGUGUUAUGAGCCUGGUGAUAGUUUGACAAGGCUUUGGUGGAGGUUGUGUUAGUGUGUCCAUGGGUAGUGUUAUGAGCCUGGU